GACGAACGCUGGCGGCGUGCCUAACACAUGCAAGUCGAGCGAAGUGAGUACUACGGUACGAACUUAGCGGCGGACGGGUGAGUAACGCGUGGACAAUCUACCCUGUAGACUGGGAUAACACCUCGAAAGGGGUGCUAAUACCGGAUAAUGUCGAGAAGCGGCAUCGCUUUUCGAAGAAAGGAGAGAAUCCGCUAUAGGAGGAGUCCGCGUCCCAUUAGCUAGUUGGUGAGGGUAACGGCCCACCAAGGCGACGAUGGGUAGCCGGCCUGAGAGGGUGAACGGCCACACUGGAACUGAGACACGGUCCAGACGCCUACGGGAGGCAGCAGUGGGGAAUAUUGUGCAUUGGGGGAAACCCUGACACAGCAACGCCGCGUGAGCGAAGAAGGCCUUCGGGUUGUAAAGCUCAAUAGUAUGGGAAGAUAAUGACGGUACCAUACGAAAGCCCCGGCUAACUACGUGCCAGCCGCCGCGGUAAGAC
rnacentral:rRNA from 1 species